GUCUACAGCCACACUGACCUGAACAUGCCCAAUCUCAUCUGAUCUUGGAAGUUACGCAGAGCCAGGCCUGGUUAGUAAUUGGAUGGGAGAAAAUCUCAACGAAUGUUAAAGACU
rnacentral:rRNA from 1 species